GUAUCAAAAUGGUUUCUGCACGUUUCUUUAAGCAAUUUUGUUAAACUCAACGGGAAAAAAAAAAAAAAAAGUGAUUUGUCACCAUUAAUCUUGGUCAUCAAUAGAAUUCAUAUUUCUUUUAACAAGUCUGAAAUGUAAGGGUAUGUGGAAUUUUAAUCGGAUUUCAGGGCGGAGAUACGGUAGAUUUUUUCUAUUGUGGAUCAGGGAGUGGGUCAGGGACUGGGAGAGUUUCUCUCCUCUUCACUCGAACCCAGACUGUACCAAUGGUGGAUGGCUUCACAUAUACAUGAUGAGCGUCUCAGCAACAUCUAUUUUCUUUUCUUUCCCAAAUCAACGGUGAUACAAACGAGGACUUCGCUAUCUAAUUCCAAAUCCAAUCAUUCUACAUUGGCCGACAGCGAUAAUGAUGACUCUCCCUAUAAUUUUAGUUUGUGAGAUAGCUGUGAUUUUCACAUCUUAUCUGUGAAAUAUAUAUAUA